rnacentral:misc_RNA from 1 species
GAUGAAGAACGUAGCGAAAUGCGAUAAGUAGUGUGAAUUGCAGAAUUCAGUGAAUCAUCGAAUCUUUGAACGCACAUUGCGCCCCUUGGUAUUCCAUGGGGCAUGCCUGUUCGAGCGUCAUUUGUACCUUCAAGCUCUGCUUGGUGUUGGGUGAUUGUCUAUCUUUGUAGACUCGCCUUAAAGUCAUUGGCAGCCGGCAUAUUGGCCUGGGAGCGCAGCACAAGUCGCGCUUCUUGUCAUGAAUGUUGGCGUCCAGUAAGUCUACAUAUUUUGCUCUUGACCUCGGAUCAGGUAGGGAUACCUGCUGAACUUAAGCAUAUCAAUAAGCGGAGGA